rnacentral:rRNA from 1 species
AAUUUGACCUCAAAUCAGGUAGGACUACCCGCUGAACUUAAGCAUAUCAUA